CGCCGUCCAUCGUUUGUGCAAUGUGUAAAGCUUGCGCGCAAUUCUCGUGGUUCUUGGAGCUUCGGUCAAGUACGAGCUGUUCAAGGAAUCGGCGGAAGACUCCGCAUGUGAUGGCCGACUCCCGUGGCUGCCUACAGCACCGCUGCAUGAAAGAAGCUAAAGAUUGACCUUGGCCGAGGAAUUUUAAUGGAAAACCAGAAGUGGCAGUGGCUUCCAGAAGAAACCGAGGGCUCCCUUGCUUUCUCAGAGAGAAAGAGCAAAGGCACUGUGGCGCAUCGAAAACCUGCACAACUAGAGCAUCCCUGGUUCACCAUGCUGCUCUUUCAUCAAAGAGGAAGGUCAUCAUCCUCAGAGAAGCUUCAUGCACUGAAGCAUGCUUUCCACCAGAGGAGCAGGUGGGAAACGAGUUCUUCCAAGGGAGCGUCUACCGAUACCUGGCGGGCAAGCUGAAAGUCAUCAGAAGGCCGAAUGAAUAAAUCGUUGGUGGUUCAUCUGCAUGUACAACCAUCAACUGUUGUGUGCACCUUUUUGCAGAUCCAUAUUACUUAGUCACAAUCUGUGCCAGUAACACAUAUCAGUAACUGGCUUUUUGAUUGAGGCUUCUUUUAUG
rnacentral:lncRNA from 1 species